UCUGCUUGUUGUCUCGGCUCUCGAUCCAUCCCUCACGCUCUGGAGUUUGGGGAGUGAGCACUCACGUACUGCUUAAGUGACCGAUUUCCAGUGCUCGACGUGCGCCUCCAUGUGUGUUCUCGCGUCCUGGAUUAGCAGCGGAUGAAGCCAGCGAUGCAAAUGAGAGGAUGGAAAGUGCUAACUUCUUCUCCUCCGUGCAGUUCCAGACAUUUUUCAGGCAAUCUUGCAAUUACCCUGUCAUGGUAGUAUGGGUGGACACUUCUGCAGAUUAGAACAAGGAGGUGGG